rnacentral:rRNA from 1 species
GGAUCCAGACUUUGAUCCUGGCUCAGGACGAACGCUGGCGGCGUGCCUAACACAUGCAAGUCGAACGGAACUGUUUUGAAAGAUUUCUUCGGAAUGAAUUUGAUUUAGUUUAGUGGCGGACGGGUGAGUAACGCGUGAGUAACCUGCCUUCAAGAGGGGGAUAACAUUCUGAAAAGAAUGCUAAUACCGCAUGACAUAUCGGAAUCACAUGAUUUUGAUACCAAAGAUUUUAUCGCUUGAAGAUGGACUCGCGUCCGAUUAGUUAGUUGGUGAGGUAACGGCUCACCAAGACCGCGAUCGGUAGCCGGACUGAGAGGUUGAACGGCCACAUUGGGACUGAGACACGGCCCAGACUCCUACGGGAGGCAGCAGUGGGGGAUAUUGCGCAAUGGGGGCAACCCUGACGCAGCAACGCCGCGUGAAGGAUGAAGGUUUUCGGAUUGUAAACUUCUUUUAUUAAGGACGAAACUUGACGGUACUUAAUGAAUAAGCUCCGGCUAACUACGUGCCAGCAGCCGCGGUAAUACGUAGGGAGCAAGCGUUGUCCGGAUUUACUGGGUGUAAAGGGUGCGUAGGCGGCUUUGCAAGUCAGAUGUGAAAUCUAUGGGCUCAACCCAUAAACUGCAUUUGAAACUGUAGAGCUUGAGUGAAGUAGAGGCAGGCGGAAUUCCCCGUGUAGCGGUGAAAUGCGUAGAGAUGGGGAGGAACACCAGUGGCGAAGGCGGCCUGCUGGGCUUUAACUGACGCUGAGGCACGAAAGCGUGGGUAGCAAACAGGAUUAGAUACCCUGGUAGUCCACGCUGUAAACGAUGAUUACUAGGUGUGGGGGGUCUGACCCCUUCCGUGCCGGAGUUAACACAAUAAGUAAUCCACCUGGGGAGUACGGCCGCAAGGUUGCAACUCAAAGGAAUUGACGG